CAAGGGGUCUCUUCCGAUAUAGUUUCAGUAUAACAGUAAAAUUUAUUUUCUCUAAAUUGAGAGAAGGGAUUUUUCCCCCAAAAAAAUAUUGUAAAGGGGUUUUCAAGCAGCAAGGAGGAUUAGGCCUAUUGUAUGUCCGUUUUCUUCUUUUAAAGUGUUUUGGUGUGGACUUCUGAGGUUAACUUUUCAAGCCCAGAUAUAUUGCAUGACUAUUAGGAUGUGAUACAUUAACAGAAAAUAUCAGACAAACCAAAUUGGUUAUACAGAUUUGAAUGAGAAGCAAGUGAAAAGACAAUUGUUUAUAAAAGCCACUAUGUACAUUCAUACACUCUGUUUAGUGUACUAGGAUUACCAUAAUCUUCUGAGAUUUGUGCACUGACUACUUUGGCAGAAGAUAGGUAAAAAGAUGGACCAUCACUGUUUGAAGGAGCAUCUAGUCAAAAUUAUAAGUAUCCUAAAGAACUCUCUCCACUAGUUUUGAUAAACUCAUUCAGUAAUGAUGUAACUCUUUUGUAGUGCAGGGAUUAACAACUUCCUCUAUACAGAAAGGUGAGAUGCUAGUUUUUAUUUUCCUGUAGCAAUUUGGGGGG